GCCCUUAGAGUUUGAUCAUGGCUCAGGACGAACGCUGGCGGCGCGCCUAACACAUGCAAGUCGAGGGAGAACCGGUCUCUUCGGAGACCGGGGACACCGGCGAACGGGUGAGUAACACGUGAGGAACCUGCCCUUGAGACCGGGAUAACCCAGGGAAACCCGGGCUAAUACCGGAUAAACUUCACGAGUCGCAUGGCUCGUGAAGUAAAUGGUCCGCCGCUCAAGGAUGGCCUCGCGGCCUAUCAGCUUGUUGGUGGGGUAGUGGCCUACCAAGGCUUCGACGGGUAGCUGGCGUGAGAGCGCGAUCAGCCACACUGGGACUGAGACACGGCCCAGACUCCUACGGGAGGCAGCAGUGGGGAAUCUUGCGCAAUGGGCGAAAGCCUGACGCAGCGACGCCGCGUGAGGGAAGAAGGCCUUCGGGUUGUAAACCUCUUUCAGGGGGGAAGAAGCGAAAGUGACGGUACCCCCACAAGAAGGACCGGCCAACUACGUGCCAGCAGCCGCGGUAAUACGUAGGGUCCGAGCGUUGUCCGGAAUUAUUGGGCGUAAAGGGCUCGCAGGCGGUCCGUCAAGUCGGCUGUGAAAUCUCAGGGCUCAACCCUGAGCUUGCAGUCGAUACUGGCGGACUCGAGGCAGGCAGAGGGGAGUGGAAUUCCCGGUGUAGCGGUGAAAUGCGCAGAUAUCGGGAGGAACACCAGUGGCGAAGGCGGCUCCCUGGGCCUGUUCUGACGCUGAGGAGCGAAAGCGUGGGUAGCAAACAGGAUUAGAUACCCUGGUAGUCCACGCCGUAAACGAUGGGUGCUAGGUGUGGGGGUUGUCCAAACCUCCGUGCCGAAGCUA
rnacentral:rRNA from 1 species